GACAGAGGGUGCAAACGUUGUUCGGAAUUACUGGGCGUAAAGCGCGUGUAGGCGGUUGCCCAAGUCGGGGGUGAAAGCCUUGAGCUCAACUCAAGAAAUGCACUCGGUACUGGGUGACUAGAGGACCGGAGAGGAUAGUGGAAUUCCCAGUGUAGUGGUGAAAUACGUAGAGAUUGGGAAGAACACCAGUGGCGAAGGCGGCUAUCUGGACGGUUUCUGACGCUAAGACGCGAAAGCGUGGGGAGCAAACAGG
rnacentral:rRNA from 1 species